rnacentral:rRNA from 1 species
UACGUAGGCAGCAAGCGUUGUUCGGAGUUACUGGGCGUAAAGAGCUCGUAGGCGGUCUGUCGCGUCUGCUGUGAAAAACCCGAGGCUCAACCUCGGGCUUGCAGUGGGUACGGGCAGACUAGAGUGCGGUAGGGGAGAAUGGAAUUCCUGGUGUAGCGGUGGAAUGCGCAGAUAUCAGGAGGAACACCAAUGGCGAAGGCAGUUCUCUGGGCCGUAACUGACGCUGAGGAGCGAAAGCGUGGGGAGCAAACAGG